GACGAACGCUGGCGGCGUGCCUAAUACAUGCAAGUAGAACGCUGAAGGAGGAGCUUGCUUCUCUGGAUGAGUUGCGAACGGGUGAGUAACGCGUAGGUAACCUGCCUGGUAGCGGGGGAUAACUAUUGGAAACGAUAGCUAAUACCGCAUAAGAGUAGAUGUUGCAUGACAUUUGCUUAAAAGGUGCAAUUGCAUCACUACCAGACGGACCUGCGUUGUAUUAGCUAGUAGGUGGGGUAACGGCUCACCAAGGCGACGAUACAUAGCCGACCUGAGAGGGUGAUCGGCCCAACUGGGAAUGAGGACCGGCCCAAGCUCCUUCGGGGAGCAACAGUAGGGGAUCUUCGGCAAUAGGCGGAAGUCUGACCGGAGAACGCCGCGUGGGUGGAGGAGGUUUUCGGAUCGGAAAACUCUGUUGUAAGGGGAGGACGAGAGUGAGAGUGGAAAGUUCACACUGUGACGGUAUCUUACCAGAAAGGGACGGCUAACUACGUG
rnacentral:rRNA from 1 species